AAGAGUGUUUCUCGAUAGCCCCUCUUACCUUCCCCAAGGUCAUCAACCUUGGGCGGAUCGGGUCGUUCUUUCCCUGCCUCACUCUUGGGGUGAGAAGGGUUUAAACUAAGAGCUUUACUGGGCCAACAUUGGUAUAUGCCAAGUGGGUAAGGAUGUUUGUCGAAAUCCUUCCUUUCCCUCUCUUAGUCUUACUAGCACCCCUGGCUUUUCAAAC
rnacentral:lncRNA from 1 species